GAAAAAGAAAUGAGAAACAUGAAUUCUGCAGCACCAGAUACUCCAUUCUACAACAUAUGUGCCUGUUAUCACCAUUAUCCAGAGGGACUUGAAGGGAAUUUCAUAAGGAUGAUAACAGCACUAGCACAGAUUAAAAACGCUAAAGUACUUGGGUAUGUCAUUGCAUCUCCUGUCCUAGGUGCCUGAUGAAACAGCACCCAGGCUGUGGGGUGUCUUGUAAUGUGGCUGUAUAAGACAGGAGAUUUAAACGACCAGCUUUCACAGAACAAAAUGACCCACGGAGACAGCAGUCUGUGCUUCUAAUCAUAUCUACCAUUAUAAGACACAACAUGGGAUUUCCCACCCUUAUUCUUGUGGCUGGAACCCCAGAGGCAGUUUAUGAUCCAGCAAAAGAGAAAAGAACUGCAAUGACUGCCUCCCCAAGGAUGCUUUCCCAGGGAAGUUAAACUAUAGAUUUCACAAAAGCUGACUUUCCUGUUUUGCUCUUCCUCUUUACUUCCCUUUCAAGAUAGCCCUUCCUCGUCUUUUUAAUACCCUGCCUUUCCCCUCCACCCUUCCUCCCAGCAACUUUGCUGGGGACAAGAGUUACCACACACCUUAGAGAGGAUGAAGCUAUCACAGCUGUUGUGGCACAGAGCAGGCAAAAUAGUGCUGUAACACCCACCCUGAGCCCUACUUAUACUACUCUGUCCCUAACUCCACACCUCCUAGCUGCAUGUCAUGCUCCUUCCUUAGUUUGAGUAUUGCAAACUGCUAGUUUUCAUUUCUGUUGUUCUUUCAGAUCCACGCUAAGCAGAAAACCUCAGUGGUACUGACAGCGCAGAAGGGAAGACCUAACAGACAAUAGCUAGCGUGGGAAAGCAAAGCUGACUUUCAUUGGAGUAAGCUUUUUAAAGCUUUCACAUCAUCCCACCAGAGCAGAAGAGGGCAUUGGUUUGCAAGGGGCAGACGAGGUACUAUGAAUAGGGAGAAAGAAGAAGGAAGAGCUUUUUACUGCUUUUUGGCUCAAUGUAACCAUCUCCAAGCCUGAUAUGGUGCAUAUAAAUGAGCAGUUUGAGCUCUACGGACUGCACGUCUUCUUCACACCUCUGAAGAGCAGUCUGGCUCCCAUACCUGACAACCUCAAACUGGCUGUUCAUCGAGUGAGCAAACAGCUUGUGUGGAUGAGGGGGAUGUGAGCAGCAUCACAUAACUCACUGAACACUCUGUAUCAAAUUUUGUGUUUAUAUGUCUGCAUUCAGUUGGAGGCAAUUUGCUAGCCACUGCAACUUUGGACGUCUCUCUGCAACAAAUCAAGCAUAAAAUUGGAGAAACUGGAGAAAGCUUACAGGACUUAUAUUACUCCUAGCUUUACCACAUUAGCAGUUAAUAGAACACGAGGCACAGCACUACUGUUGGCUCAGGCAGCCUCUGCUAUUAAAAAAAAAAAAAAAAAAAAGACUAUGCUGAGACUGAGAACCAAACCUUCAGUUCUUGACAGUUCAAAGUAGAUCAAUGCCCCUGUUCUGUACAGGAAGAUAAACAUAAGCCUCGGAAUGGGCAGAAAAUCCUUAGGUAUGCUUAGGAAUAGAAAAAAUAAAUUACGUGCUUCAGAGUCUGAAUAUCACUACAGAGGAAGAACACAAAGAAUUAAUUUAGGCAAGGAAGUUAAGUGUACGAGGCUUGAGUCAGCCCUGCAGACGUGCACCAGAACAUUUAAACAGAAAGCAGGCUCUGAAAGAAAAAGUUUUGCGCAUGGGCAAACUGUCUCACUAGGUAAACAUUAGUAAUACCAGUGAAACCUGAAUAUAUUUUGGGAGAACAUCAAAAUGCAAAAAAGCUGUCAGAAUAACAGAGCCUUUGACACAACCCUGGAGCACACUCCAUAUGGCAAAUAGCAGCAGCCAAGGAAGAGACCAUUGCUUACAUUGUUGGAGCAGCUUGAGAAUUUCUAGAGAUGGACUUUUUUGCUUAACUAAAACAGUUCAGUUCUACCUCUGCAGGUUCAUCUGUCACUGGUACAGAAAGACCUAGCUGCACAAUAAAUUUGAGCUCCAUUGUUUUUCUUGUUUAGUUAAAUAUCUUAAAAAAAAAAAUCUUGGCUGAACUAUCCCCAUUCUCCUCAAGCUCUCAGUAUUUUUCCACUGCUGCAGUGCCAGGAGCUGGGUACAGCAAAAGCUGAUCAGCUGCAGUCUUCCUUGCUAUGCAGUUCCAUGUUGCUAGGUAUAGACUGCUUACUUAAAAACAAAUACAUUAAAAAGCGGUUGUAUAAAUAAAGCAUCAGAAGAUGUGUGUGUGGGGAAAGGUAUGCUGACAAGACAGGCUCUGGGCUUGCUCUCUUUUUAAACAGAUUUAAGUGAGUUUACUUCAACAAGGUGUCACCUGCUGAUUUGUACCAUUGUAAUAGCAAAAGCAGACUCAGAUUCUGCCUGAAAAGACCAGGCAGAUUUAAGUGAAUUCUCUUGUGCUGGCCUUUUGCUAUUUUAUACAAUAAUAAAAUUGCACGUCCUUUCAUACAACCACACUUUUCACCUGCUGGUAUACGUGACUGUACGGUAUUAGUUCUUCACGAAGGCAUUUAUUUAAAUUAGCAAGACUUUUUAAAACAAUGGACAAAGGAGGAAAUAAUUGAGAAGCAAAAGGAAGGAAGAAAUCAGGACUCCCAUGCAGUAGGAGAAUGACAGAUUUGUGAGCUGUACUAAUCAAAUAUUGUUUAUAAGCAGUAAUUUGCUGCUCCCAAGCCACUGGUCAAGGAAUUAGCACCACUCUGAAAUUAAGUUACUUUACCUCUAUGGAUGGUAACAAAGAUUAUAAUGAACUGAAAGAGGAGGAGGGAUCCAUACAAAGCCAACCAGAGUACUCGGUGGCUUGGAACCCACUGUGUUUUUGUCAUGGAAGGAAUCAACAGGUCACAAUAUUUAAUUCUCUGUGUUCACAAAAACUUCUGCUUUGUUAAGAUCAAACGUACAAGAAAACUCGUACCCUUCCCUUCCACAUGGAAACAAACAUCAGUUUCUCAGGGGAAGAAAAAAAUCUCCUCUCAACUUAUGUCAUGAUGCUCAGGAGACAAACUAUUUCAUGAAUCUGGCACAAAAGGAUUAGCAAAUUGCAAGAUGCAAGUGCCUCCUUGCAAAUAGCAAGGUGCUGGGAGAAAGAUGUAGUUCCCCUCAGACUAUGCAUUGCUUGCACACCUGUAUUCCAGUUAGCCAUUAAUACUAGCAAAUUGCAAAAUUCUUGGCUCGAUGGGGGACCAUGCACAAUUAACUAUUCCUGUGCAUACUGUAUCCCCAGCUAAGCUGGUGAAUCAGCUGGGCUGCAAACUGAAUGUCUGUGGAUCCUAGUGAGUGUGAUGCCAAAAUAACGCACAGUCAACUUCAUUCAGCCUGUAGGCUCAGUCCUACAGGUAUGUGUCAUGUCCAGCACUGUGUGCAGACACAGUCUUGCUGAGAACAGACUCCUCAGUAGCAGCAGUAGUGAAGAAGCAGGGAGGUGACUGGAGUAUGCACGUGUGGUUAGAACAGCAAGAAGUCCUAGUGACUGUGACAUCAAAGGAGCACUGGGGGAUCACUUACCACAGACAAAGACAUAUAAAGACAUACUUUGAAA